ACGUUGUAGGCUCUUUCGUCUGGUAAUUAUUUAUUAGUUUUUCGUUAUUAAUAUUUCCGCAGACGAUCUCUGUGACAUUUGGCACGUCACAAUUUCGGAUGGAAUUUCAUUUCUCGUAGGAAUAAAAGUAUGAGUCAGACAACGAGAGACAUCUGGUAACGAGUGCUGCAACUAUUCAAACGUAUCGGGAAUAAUUUGAACGGGCCUAUUCCAUAUAUAUAUAUAUAUAUAUACACGAUAGACAGAACGUUUAGUUUGUUUAGCUUGUUACUUUCAAAAUGAUGAUUAAAAAAAAUAGAUGAUAAAAAGUCUUUUUUUAGACGUGAUUCUGCCGGUGUUAGAUAGAGAUGGGAACCUGUACGUUACGUUUUAUGUAUGUAUAUAUUAUAUAUGUACAUAUUAGCAAAAAAUGAUGGAUUAAUAAAUCGAUACGUACUUGAAGGUACACUCGAGGUUUCCACGCGUGCUGCGAGUGCAAGAAAACGUACAGAUCGAGAAUGGCCCUAAAUCGGCACGUGCGAGAGGAAUGCGGUAGAGUUUUGUACACGUGUCCCUUUUGCCACAGCAUCAUGCC
rnacentral:misc_RNA from 1 species